GCAGGUGGCGGUGGCACGCUUGUCCGCCACGGCAACCGCAGGGCGGACAGGACCAGUUAGUGGUCGGGCACACGUGCACAAGGUCACAGUUCGCAACUCGGGGAAAAAGGGGGGUACUAAUGGCUCUCAAUUAAUGACCAGUAGGAAGAUGUCGCAUGAAUUCACGCCUGGAGGCUCUUCCGCGUCGCAGGAUAGCGGGGACACCCAGUCGGAACGAAGCGGAACGGACCCUCCUUACGUUCCUGGACCAUCCCGAAGUUGUCCGCCGAGCUGCGCCGAAGGGGCAUCCCCUUUCCAGCAUCUGCAAGAAAAGCCGAGUUGUAUCGUCUUCUGAUGUCAGAUGUACCACCUGUGAGCCAGGAUGAGGUAUCCAUGGGAACCAUUCAGACGUCGCUCACCCAACUACACGCCGUGAUCAACAGUAUGGCGUCAUCCAUGUCAGACCUACAGGCCAGAGUGGAAUCAGUGGAAGCCAGGUCUGCGGCCAGGGCCGGCGUCAUAACCCGGCAUACCCGGGCAAGUGCCGGGGCCCACUGUAAGUAAGGGGGCCCACUCGUUUCCGUGGCGAGGCCCCUUUAACAUUUUUGCAUACUUCUGUUCAUGCUGCGCAGCGCCCGGCCCCUCUCUCACAUGAUCUCUGAGUCCGACUCCAGGCAGAGAGUCUAUGCGCCGCGAGUACACUUUCCACAGAGUGACAGCUGUGUAACGUAUGUAAGCCUGCCUCAGCCAGCAGCAGCGCAGGACACAGGGGAGGAGCCACGGAGCUGCUGAUCAGCAGGGGCAGCCAGAAGAUUCACGAUGAGGAUUCAGGACGCAUAGCUGAGCCCAGAGGAAACCUGGCUGAAGACGGCGGAAGCUGCUGCUGGAGUUUUACAUUUAGAAUUCAGAUUGGGUUAUCAUGAUCUACGAGACACUUCCUGCAUCCAGUUGGCAUCUGUAAUAAGGAAUAACCAGUCCCUGAAGAUACUGGACCUGUCUUACAACCGUCUGUCUGGUCCUCACUUCAGUGACUUGAUGGCGGCUCUGUCCAGUCCGGCCUGCAGGAUAGAGACAUUACAUCUGACGUACAAUGAAUUAUCUGAAGAGGAGAAGGAAGCCAUAAGAAAACUGAACAAGCAGAAACCAAAUAUAGAGAUCUCUUACUGAACUGAAGAAGAAGCCGAUUCCUCUCUGUGAUGAGCAGAUAACAGGACUUUGGUGGAGAAGACUUCUUCAGAAGUCUGGUAUUAAGAGAGUCUCCUGGUGCUUUAUGGGUAAUAUCACGGAUAUAGAGAAGAUAAGGAAAUGUCUAAUAUUAUAAUAAACAUGAUACUAGAAAUGUU